rnacentral:rRNA from 1 species
UACGAGUGGUGCAAACGUUAUUCGGCCUCACUGGGCGUACAGGGUGCGUCGACGGUAUAGUAAGUCAACUGUUAAAUUUUCCGGCCUAACCGGAAGUAUGCGGUAGAAACUGUUGUACUAGAGGAUGGAAGAGAGAAGUGGAAUUCUCGGAGUAGCGGUAAAAUGCGUAGAUCUCGAGAGGAACACCAAUGGCGAAGGCAGCUUCUUGGCCCAUUCCUGACGUUGAGGCACGAAAGCGUGGGGAGCAAACAGG